rnacentral:rRNA from 1 species
GGACGAACGCUGGCGGCGUGCUUAACACAUGCAAGUCGAACGGAAAGGCCCUGCUUUUGUGGGGUGCUCGAGUGGCGAGCGGGUGAGUAACACGUGAGUAACCUGCCCUUGACUUUGGGAUAACUUCAGGAAACUGGGGCUAAUACCGGAUAGGAGCUCCUGCUGCAUGGUGGGGGUUGGAAAGUUUCGGCGGUUGGGGAUGGACUCGCGGCUUAUCAGCUUGUUGGUGGGGUAGUGGCUUACCAAGGCUUUGACGGGUAGCCGGCCUGAGAGGGUGACCGGCCACAUUGGGACUGAGAUACGGCCCAGACUCCUACGGGAGGCAGCAGUGGGGAAUAUUGCACAAUGGGCGGAAGCCUGAUGCAGCAACGCCGCGUGCGGGAUGACGGCCUUCGGGUUGUAAACCGCUUUCGCCUGUGACGAAGCGUGAGUGACGGUAAUGGGUAAAGAAGCACCGGCUAACUACGUGCCAGCAGCCGCGGUGAUACGUAGGGUGCGAGCGUUGUCCGGAUUUAUUGGGCGUAAAGGGCUCGUAGGUGGUUGAUCGCGUCGGAAGUGUAAUCUUGGGGCUUAACCCUGAGCGUGCUUUCGAUACGGGUUGACUUGAGGAAGGUAGGGGAGAAUGGAAUUCCUGGUGGAGCGGUGGAAUGCGCAGAUAUCAGGAGGAACACCAGUGGCGAAGGCGGUUCUCUGGGCCUUUCCUGACGCUGAGGAGCGAAAGCGUGGGGAGCGAACAGGCUUAGAUACCCUGGUAGUCCACGCUGUAAACGGUGGGUACUAGGUGUGGGGUCCAUUCCACGGGUUCCGUGCCGUAGCUAACGCUUUAAGUACCCCGCCUGGGGAGUACGGCCGCAAGGCUAAAACUCAAAGGAAUUGACGGGGCCCCGCACAAGCGGCGGAGCAUGCGGAUUAAUUCGAUGCAACGCGUAGAACCUUACCUGGGUUUGACAUGGAUCGGGAGUGCUCAGAGAUGGGUGUGCCUCUUUUGGGGUCGGUUCACAGGUGGUGCAUGGCUGUCGUCAGCUCGUGUCGUGAGAUGUUGGGUUAAGUCCCGCAACGAGCGCAACCCUUGUUCACUGUUGCCAGCACGUUAUGGUGGGGACUCAGUGGAGACCGCCGGGGUCAACUCGGAGGAAGGUGGGGAUGACGUCAAGUCAUCAUGCCCCUUAUGUCCAGGGCUUCACGCAUGCUACAAUGGCUGGUACAGAGAGUGGCGAGCCUGUGAGGGUGAGCGAAUCUCGGAAAGCCGGUCUCAGUUCGGAUUGGGGUCUGCAACUCGACCUCAUGAAGUCGGAGUCGAUAGUAAUCGCAGAUCAGCAACGCUGCGGUGAAUACGUUCCCGGGGCUUGUACACACCGCCCGUCAAGUCAUGAAAGUUGGUAACACCCGAAGCCGGUGGCCUAACCGUUGUGGGGGAGCCGUCGAAGGUGG